rnacentral:piRNA from 1 species
UGAGAUGUCUCAGGAACUGUGCCCAGCACU